rnacentral:rRNA from 1 species
GACGAACGCUGGCGGCGUGCUUAACACAUGCAAGUCGAACGGAAAGGCCCUGCUUGCAGGGUGCUCGAGUGGCGAACGGGUGAGUAACACGUGGGUGAUCUGCCCCUUACUUUGGGAUAAGCCUGGGAAACUGGGUCUAAUACUGGAUAGGACCAUGCUGUAGGUGGUGUGGUGGAAAGAUUUUUUCGGUAAGGGAUGAGCUCGCGGCCUAUCAGCUUGUUGGUGGGGUAAUGGCCUACCAAGGCGUCGACGGGUAGCCGGCCUGAGAGGGUGGACGGCCACAUUGGGACUGAGAUACGGCCCAGACUCCUACGGGAGGCAGCAGUGGGGAAUAUUGCACAAUGGGCGCAAGCCUGAUGCAGCGACGCCGCGUGGGGGAUGACGGCCUUGGGGUUGUAAACUCCUUUCAGCCAUGACGAAGCCUCUUUUGGGGUGACGGUAGUGGUAGAAGAAGCACCGGCUAACUACGUG